UCAGGCACACUGCCUACCCACCCAUGUGUUUGCCGUCAGUGUAAGCACAUUCUUACUGCCUUACCUUCUCUAGCUGGUAACAAUGCUGAGUGGAUGGGUCUCUGGUUUGGGAAUCGGCAGACAGAAUUCUCAUGGUGAUGUGACAGUAUUUGUAGGUUGACUUGGCUCCAAGCAGGAGGAAGAGAGGGGCUGUCAACAUCUUGGUGAGACAAGAGCAGGUUGGAGGCAGUCUCUGCUGACACCCUGGUAACUGAGGUCAGCUGGCCUGGAAAUCCACACUCACCACUGCCAAGUACAGAGGACAACUGAAGAGAUGGCUCUCCCAGCAAAAGGAGGCAGAUCCAGGCCAGUAUAUGCUUAGUCUGUCACAGUGGCAGGUCUGGCACUGGGUUAAGGGAGGAAGAGACUGAGUAUUUGGUAGAAAUUUUUUGAAUAUUUUCAAUGAGUGGAACAAGAUGGGCGAUAAGGGAAGAAUUAAGAGGUAAAUCUCAGAUGGUAGGCCUUCAGGAGAAAGAGUUUGACUACGCAAUUGGCUCAAAUGGAAGAAAAAGAUCUCUGUGAGUGGCAAGAUUUAUAAGGCUACAAACACUGCCAUUCAUGUAACCGGUUGUUUGUACGUAAAUUGGUUUUCUCUUUCUCUAUCUGGAAGCUUUUGGGAUCUUCUCUUUAUCCCUCAGGUUUUGAAAUUUCACAGUGAUGGGGCUUUACAGGGGACGUGUUUUCCAUUCAUUGAGCUGGGCAAUCAGUCCAACCUUUAUUUUGGGAAAUUUUCUUCGAUUGUCACUUUGAUAAAUUUCUGCCCACUACUUUUUCUGUUCUCUAUUCUCUCUCCGGAAUUGCCAUUAUUUAGAUGUUGAGCCUCCUGUAUUUUUCCUUUCUUAUUGUACAUCUCUGCCUUUUUGUUUUACUUUCUUGGUGAUUUCCCUAAUUUUUUUCUGAGUUCUUCUGACUUCCUUUUUUCUUUUAGGGUAUUUUGGGGGUUUUCUUUGUCCUAUUCUUUCAUGUUGGAGGAUUUCCUUGACUUUUGGGUGAUUCCUGGCUGACUAUAUGCUCGGACACGGCUCAUCAACCAGUGGGUUUGACUGAAGGGAGAUGCCAGCUCUUCCACCAGUUGCUGCAAAUGUCAGGAUCUGGAGGUCUUUAUUCUGGAAUGGUUUGUUUUUCUAGGAAAAGAUCUCUAACCUUUCUGUUCCCAGUGUUUUAUAGCAGGGAGUAGAGAAGGUGGGAAAGGGAGGAAGGCUGAGGCUGUUAAUCUUCAAUAUGCCAACUUUUAGUAAUCCUCAUGUUUUGAAAUUUUGAAAACUGCUGGACAUAUGCCAAAAUUUUUACAAACUUCUGUCUUCCUUCCACUUGCUGCCUUCCUCUUCUUGACCAGGUGAUCUUGAGCCCAGAAAGCCCCUGCUUCAGUUUUCUCUCACUGAAGGUUUGAGGAAUGAGUGUGUAGAUGUGGGAUAUGACUGUCUCUUUUACAGACUUUCAAACAAUCCUUCUUUCAGUUGCUUCCCAGCAGGGCCUCUCUCUGCAUGUGCUCUUAUGUCACUGGUCGUUCCUCCUUCUGCUAUCCAUCUUUCUAUACUAUGGUUUAUUGUUUCAGAUGUCUCUUAUUAAGUGACAGCAAAGUUGGAGUCUGUGUUUCUUAUUCUUUCUGUUGCUUUGGGGUGAUUAUUUAGAAGAGAAACAUAUAGAAAUAUCCCACCAUCUUAAAAUUAGAAGUCCUUAACCUCUACUUACGGACCCAUUUACAAUAGUCUAUUUCUUACCCCCAUCCAUGGGAGAGGGAGAAAUUAGCACCCCUACAUUUCCUCUUACUUCUUCUUCCUCCUGCUCCCACUUUCAAUUUCUAUCAGCUAUAUCACCAAUUUAAAUUUUUUAAGGUUUAGAUUUAAACAUACUUUGUCUAUCGGUAGAUUCUGAAAACUGAAAACAGAACACAUCAUUCACAAUACACAAAUACAUGAACAUUAGUCACUGAAGAAUCAAGUAAUGCAAUUUGAUUCAUUGAAAAAGGAAAUACAAUUCCUCUGUCAGUACACUUCUGCAGCUUUCAGGAGAAUGUGAAGGGUCUAGUUUUCUUACACUCUGUGAGCUGCUCAAAACACUACAUUUUAGUUUGACUCAGAUUGGGACCAACACUUUCUUAUAAGCUUUAUGUGUUUCUUAGACCGUCUACAGUUGAGUUUACUGGAGGAGAAGAGGGAGCCUCUAUUCUUUUAAGUGAUCAUGACAUCUGACCCUCAUCCUGCUUGGAUUUUUAGACCCUGAAAUCUGCCUUAAUUCAUCUCUCUUGAAAACUUCUGUUGCUGCUCUUGGAUCUGGUAAUAUUUUUUGUCAGCUUUCCUCUUGAAUAAGUGAAUGUUUUCUAAGGAGUCCAAAUUCCUCUGACUUGAAUCUCAGAAUAUCAGAGCCAGAAGGAACCUCAAAGUCAGCUGGACCAAUGGUUCCAGCCUGCGGCAUUUGGAUUCUCAGAGACUUUGGAGUUAUUGCUGAUUUGAGUAAGAUUUGCUCGCUGAAUGAACAGCCAGCUCCGGAGGAAUAAAUUCAGAUCUCAUGCAUAAACUCAGAGUUCUCACAGCCCAAGAUUCGAUGGUGACCCAAGACUCCCUCACAGCUGAGGCUGCCUCAUCGAGAAAAUGAAGGACGAGAGCACUUCAGCUGCCACCAGCACAGCCCCAACACUCUGCAGUGCUGAUGACGGGCACUGGUUGAGCAACCGAAAUCAUCCAUUACAAAGGUCUCAGGACACAGCUGUGACAUGCGACUCCACAGAGACCUCAUGUUAAUCCCGGAUAUUUCUGAAUUUCAUUCCUGUUCAGAAGGAGCCUGUCUCUAAGUACUUGAGAAUAGGAAAGAAGCUUCUAUGUCAUCACUCUGGCAUCUUUCAUUUCAGUAAAAAAAAGAAAAUUGAUUUUGAGAUUUCUGUUCUAUAUGGCACUUAAUGUGAAAUAUCUAGUUCUAAAGUGAUUUAGAAAAAGAAAAAAGUGCACUGUGGUGUUAAAAUCUAUUUAUCUUCUUUUAUUCUCAAGGGCAAGAAAUGAAAAUAAUAACAGAUAACAGUAGAUUUUCAGUGUGGUGACAGAAAGAGGUUAUCAGGAAAAUCCCAGGGUGAAAAUAAAGUAGAAAAGCAAGAAUACAGUUUGAGAAAGAUGUGGAAGAAAGAUAUGAAGCUAGAAAGGAAAAUAAGAGAUUGUCAGUGACAGCCAAGAUUCUUAAAAGAUAGAAGAGUUCUUACUGAUUCAUCUGUAAGUAGAGGUAACAGAGGAAAAAAAAAACAAGAGAUGAACACCAUGAUGCUAGGAUCGGAAAUCUCAGGGGUAUGGUGUUGUCGUUAAAUUCUGCCUUUGGCUAAAAAAAAAAAAUCAGAAAAAGAGAUUUAGGGAAAUACGCAUGGGAAAUUGUGUGAAAUGAGUUGUUGAUAAAGUAAAAGAAAGUAUACAAGAAACACGGAAAUAUCUUUAAGCCGCUGCCUCUCCAACAUCCAUUCUAAGUUGUUAAGAGAAUGAGUUAAUGGAUUUAGAGAAGUUCUGAUCAUUAUAUUCGGGGGGCACUUUGGAUGCAGUAUUUCAGAAAGCUGUCAAAAUAAGUACAUCUCUUCAAGAUAUUAGAGGAAAAAACAAGAAAAAACAAGCACACAUGGACCUAAUUUUCUUCUUUUUUGCUCUCCUUCCUAAGAAAGGCCUUCCUGGAGGGUGUUGUGCUGAGUGAAAUAAGCCACAGAGGCAUAUUCAUGAUGACAGUUUAAAAAUCUUUGUCGGGUCAUUCCGACAUCUCUGUCAUCUUGGUGCUGGUAUCUGUUGAUUGUCUGUUUUCACUUAGUUUAUCUUCCUUGUUCUUGAUGUAAUGAGCAAUUAUUUUUUUACUGAAUUCUGGGCAUCUGGGGCAUUAUGUUGUGAGACUCUGGGUCUUAUUUAAGCCCUCAUUUUUUCUGGUUUCCUCUGACAUUACUUGAGCAGGGGAAGAAGAGGGGACCCGCCACCACUGCCAGGUGAGAGUAAGUUUCCACUUGCCCUUUGUUGACAUAGAGGUGGGGUUCCUCUUUACUGCUUGAUGUGGGUGGGAGUUCUGGCUCCCUACUAGGUCUCUGCUGAUACCUACCUGGCUGGGCAGCAUCCAGAUGCCUCACUACUCUCCUCACAUGGCCUCCGCUGACAUCAUGGUGGGGCUGUGCGGGGACCUCCGUGCUGCUGGGCAGUGGUGAAAGUUCUGACUGUCCAUUAGGCUUCUUUAGACACCAUCCCAGUGAGGAUGGGGAGGGCGCCUGACUGCCGCCAAAUGGAGAUGGAAGUCCAGGCUCCCAGUUGAUCUCCACUGACAGCAUGAGGAGGCCUCAUUAGCUCCAGGGGAUGAAAGUCCUGGCUCUCUACUCAGCCCUUUCUGACAACACCCUGGCAGAGAGGUUUGGGCUCCUUGUUAAAACUCCACAGAAAUGGAAGUCCAGGCUCCCCACUCAGCCUUACUGGAAUGGGUGGGAGAGGGGUCAUAGAUUUUUCUGUAGUGUUUGGCUGGAGUAGACCAGUUAUUAUCUAAAUGUUUCCUAUCUUGCGAGGUUGCUCCUUUUCCUAGAGAGAGUGGGCUUCUGUUGGGGCUUUUUCUUUCUAGAGUCAUUGGCAUUUCCAGGCUGCCAGCUCCUUCAGCUCCAAGUCUGGGAAAUAUAAGGCAAAAAAGAAGACCCAGGGAACUCACCACCAUACUGUUCCUUGGAUUCCGAGGUCCCUAGUUGGUCUGCCUUCUUCUCUCCACAUUUCAGAGUCUUCUUGUGUUUGUUUCUGUGGACUGUCCAGGGUUUUCAGUUGUCUUUAGCAGGAGGACCAGGAAAAGGUACAGCUGUUCCACUUCCCACAUAUGGAAUCUUUCCAGAUCAUUCACAUACAGAUAACAACAGUACCUGCCUCCUAGAGACCUCAAAGGGUUAUUGUGAGGAUUAAAUGAGUUAAUUGGACCUUUGGAGCAGUGGCUGGCACAUGGGCAGUGACGGGUUUCCUUAGAGCUCAGCACUCCCACUCCAAGGCAGCUUAUGCUCUUCAGAGAGACUCCAGCUCCAAGAAAGCAGGGGCUGUGCCUUCUUCAGUUCCGAAGCUCCUCAAGUCUGACUCGUGAAAUGGGGUCCUUCCUCAAGGGAUUCCCGCUGCCGCCCCUGCCCAGCCUGCCGUCUACAUACUUCGGAGCCUGUCCAAGUCCAGCUUGUGCCUCAGGGCUCAUACCGAGUGCCACCAAGCCUUCCUGGAGACACCAGCCCACACUGAGCUCGCCCCUUCCUAAACCCUUAGCGUUAACUAUCUCUGCCAUAUGUUUUGGAAUGUGUUUAUUUAAGCAUCAUAUAAUAUCUAGUCCUAUAUUUUUCCUGAUAUUUCAUAUGUCCAAGUCUUGUGUAACCAGCAAGACCAUGGGUCUUGGGGGCAGUGGUUGCAUCAUACAAGUUUUGAUGAGGUUUGGCCUCCCAGCAUUUGACAUGGAACACAGUACUGGGUAGUGAGUCAAUUAAUACUUGUUAACUCUGAAAGCAAAGGUCUCAGACAAGCAGAGGUGCCCCCAUGUGGAGUACAUGGAGCCCCAGGCAAAAUUCUCUUUUUGCAAGGCCCUAACUAAACACUUUGAUUAAAAAAUGUUUUACAAAAUGUGUGGGCCCCUGGAAAGUAUAGUGAUUUAUUGCUGAAGGUGUAGAAUAAUGUGUAGGAAGAGCUGGAAGAGGUACUUUGAUAUGUAUUUAUUGUCCAAUCAGGGCAGAUGUCCAGAGACCAUCUUUUCUGUUUGGGUCCAGGAAUCAUCUCUUCAUGUUCUUUAUUGUCAAAUGUGCCAUUCCUGGAGAAUUUCACAUCUUCCACCUCCAAAAACAGGGUGCAAUGCUGUCAUUACUCACAAUGUCAGGACUUUUUGGAGCUUGCUUAUAUUGCAACUAUACAGAUCUCAUCUCUGCACGUAUUUAAUGUUACUUAUACCAUGUAUGCAUAACAGUGGGUCAUCCAUUGUGCGGCCUGUGAGUACUGCUUUCCAACGACCCUGUCAAAGGUAGCUGCUGUGGUUCAUUGAUAAUGACUAUAAAUGCAAGUCUCAUCCAGAGAAUGCUGGAAAAUGUGAACAAUAAUCCAUUUUGCGGUCAUAUAAAGUCUACAGUUUGGAAUUUUAUAACAUAAAGAUAGAACACCGUGUCUUCCAACUCUGUCUUCUCUUGAACUCUUCAGGCGGAAGUCACUGCAUCCUUAGAAGGUGAUUUCUUUCCCUGUUGACCACACCCCUGCCUUCCAUACAUCCCACCAGCCAGGAGGGUAGGCGAGGGGCCUGUGGGCAGAGUAAGUAAAGCAGUCACAUUCUGCAAGAAAUGUUCGUCCCUCGCCCCAGGAGAGCAUGAGGCCACCAAAUCCACUGGAGGCAAAAGAGGACCCUGAGCAGAAGGGCCCAUCUGCAUUCUAAAGCAAUGGUCUAGAAAGCCCUUGGAGGAGAUAGGCUUGGCCACCUCAGAGGACUGCCCGACAUGGGUAGGGAAAGGAACUUAUGGAGGGGUGGGGUAACCCUGUGUGCCAGCAGUAGAGUACACAGGUAAAGGACACCUGCAGCCUCCCUCCUGCCCUUGGGUGUUGUGGCCCUAGGAGGCCACGGAUGGAACGGGCAGGCAAGAGCCGAUGCUGAAGAGCUCAAGUCCAAAGCUGGGUGGGAUUGGUCCUGGUAACCCUGAGUCCUGAACGUCUCCUGUGACCACCAUGAGUGAGUCACCUCAAAUCAGAGUGUCAGCACAUUUUGGGGGGCUCAAUCUCAUGAGAGAAAUACUGCAACAGCCAGCGGAAAUGACCAGCUCAUGAGCCCACCCUCCUGGAAGCCCCAUAGGUGGGGAUUAUGAUCCCAGGAGCAUGAGUCUCGGAGUUCCUUGGGGCAGGUGGUGACCCCACACACAGGAUCAAGGGUCAAAGAGUGUCCUGAAGGAUGGAAAUAAGGACCAAACUCCCAGGAAUCCAUCCAGGUUUGGGGUGUCCCACCCAGGUGGCAUUGCCAGGCACCCCAGGGAACUUCAAAAAUUUUGAAGAAAGCACUGGGCCCAGGGCAGCAGCCUACUGUCCCAGGUCUAAGGCUGUUACUGCAGCCAAGCCUUUCUGCGCUCCUGGUAAUCCCCAAGACCAGACCAGCCCGUGUGGCUAUGGGGAUUGCCAAUGUGCUGGGCUACCAUGUAGGGAGCAUCGGGCAUUUUCAGGAAUUUGUACUCUGGUCUCAUUUCGGCACAAAGUGCUGGUGCCCUUUUUUCUUUUGGGGGCCUCACUACAUUGAGUACAUUCUCUCAGAUAAAUUUCUGGUCUCACCUUGUUAAUUCUUUGAAAAGAACAAUUAUGAACUGACUCACAGGACAGUAUUCCUGUUUUUUCUCGUGUUAAUAAGUAUCAGAUGGCAGUGAAUUUUUCUAUCUUUCCUGUGGCAGCUUCCCAUUACACCUGUGCAGCUUCCCAUUACACCUGUGACAGCUUCCCAUUACACCUGGCAUUUUGAGCCACACACAUGUGCAGGAUUUUGCAAAAUCUGAGUAGAGAAGAGGCUAGAAGAUGAGGUGAGAGAGACGUUUUAUGAAAAUAAAAAUUCAUAAAAAUAUCACCAAAAAUAUCCCACUAAAUUAUAUCACUGAUAGCAUCCGUUAAAAUAUCUCAUUAAAAAUAUCAUUGAUCAGAUCCAUUAUUUUGUUAUUUAAAAAGUUGUUAAAUCUUUGGUCAGCAGUUACUCUGUGUCACCAUCACAUUCGUUGCUCAGAUUUCUUAGUUCCUCUCAAAGGAAUGUUACCAAAUAUGUGAAUUUCUGGCUACCGUGAAAUCAGAUAAAGCGAUGGGUAUUUUGAUAAGUAUAGAACAUGGAAUUCGUUUGUAGCUUAAAACAAUCUCUCAAGGCGUUGGUUGGCCACUAAGUAGCAUGUAUUCAUAUUUGCCUUUGUUUCCUUUCUAAUAGUGCUGGGGCUUCUGCCACUUUAGAAAACAGAAUUUCUAACUCUCAUGGCAGUUCAGGCACAGUUUCUAAUAAUCUAACCUCACGAUACACACAAAUGACUUAUAUUAAUGCCAUAGAAAUAAACUAUUAUAUUCUAGUGCUUAUGUGAGCCCCAAGCUGUGCUAGGUAGUUCUCUCCUAUUAUUGUGUUUAAUGGAUUGAGCAACUAACAUUUAUUCAAUGUUUGGCAUUUCUUUUAAAUGCCGUCUAGCAUAGUACAAUGGUUCCUGAAUGUCAGUGGAUAUAGGAAUCAUCAGGAAAGGACUUAUUAAAACACAGGUUCCUGGGGAUCGUCCCCGUGGCCAAGUGGUUAAGUUCUCGCGCUCCGCUUCAGUGGCCCAGAGUCUCGCUGGUUCGGAUCCUGGGCGUGGACAUGGCAUCGCUCGUCAGGCCACGCUGAGGCGGCGUCCCAGAUACAUAGCACAGUCAGAGGCGCUCACAACUAGAAUAUACAACUAUGUACUGGGGGGAUUUGGGGAGAAAAAGCAGAAAAAGAAAAAAGAGAAGAUUGGUGCCAAUCUUGAAAAAAAAAAGAAAUUUAAAACACAGCUUCCUGGAUCCCAUCCCCAGGGUUUCUGAUUCAGCAGGUAGGGGGUGAAGCUUGAGAAUCUGCAUUCCUAACAUGUUCCCAGGUUAUGCUGGUGCUGCCGGUCCAGGGACCACACUGUGAGAAUCACUGGCAUAGGAGUUAAAAGCAGUGACUUUGCUAUCAGACUGAUCUGGUUUUGAGUCUUUUGGUUUAACUUUCCUCAUCUAUAAAAUUAUACCUCCAUCAUUAGGUUAUUUUGGAGAUUAAAUAUGAUAUAUGUGAAGUGCUUAACAUGGUAUCUUGCAUGCGUUAUAACUCAGUAAAUGUUAACUGCCACCAUAGUAGCAUUUGCUACAGUACUACUCUUACUACUAAGUAAACUUAGAAAAUGACUUUGAUUUCAAAAUCAGUUUUAGAUUGUCAGUGCUCUCUCUUCUCUUUACCUAGAGCUGAGCUCCAAUGUCUCGCAUGCUAUGACAUCAUAAUGAGAUUGAUAACCAAGACUCUGAGGAAUGGCAUAUUGGAUUUUUCAUAUUAUCAUAGAGAUUCUCCAUCAUAACUAAGAAAAAUAUAUAAAACAAAUGCCAUUUUUUAAUAACCCUGAAAAAACCUCUAGGAAAAAGAGCUGCAAUUAAGUUAGUCUAUUAGCUUUACCAAACCUUAUUGAAUAUGUUAUUAUUAGCUGUCUAAAAUGAUACAUCUAUUUGUGGUUAAACACACACAAGUAAAAAGCCAAGAACCUUCAUGAAAGGUUGCUUAAUCUUGAUCAAUACUUUAGAAGAGUCAGCAUAUACUUUGGCCACAGAAAAUUCUAGUAACUUAUUCGUAACUUAUGUGAAAUUAUCCUGCUACUAAUCUGCACAAUUCUAGAGUCCCAGAAAUGGUAGAAUAUAUAAGUUUUGAUGAAUAAAUGAAGAGCAAUAGGAUAUACUGGAGUAUAUGAGGAAGCCAUAUGGUUUAAAAUUAAUUCAGCCUGAACUUGUUAUUCCAGAAAGCCCUGAUGUGGCCUCUUGAACAUGCAUUGUACAUCUGCUUUAAGCAUUUACAAUGUCCCAAAGACAAGAAUUAUGCCCUUAAAGGUAGAGAUUCAGCUUCCCCCUAGAUUAGCAUUUCUUUAAGAAUAAGUAUCUCUUCCUGGAAACUAAGGAUUAAUUACAGAUCUGCUGUUCUCACCUUGUGACCACUGACCUGCUAUGCUAGCUAAGCAUCUAGUGACAGUAGUAAAAGAGAUAUUCCUGGCAUAUGUGAUGUACGUUCUUUGUUCCAAGAUAGUAUAUAACCACUCUGUACACUCCACUUCUCUGGUGUAUGUCUUUCCUUGGGGAAGGAAGCCCCCAAGCUAUAGUCCUCAGACCUGGCUCAUGAUAAACUCACCCAAUUUUGAUUUAUAGAUUGAUUAUGGAUUAUUUGCAUCAACAUUUGGAAACAUAUUCAUCAUCCAUUAAUCAAAUUCUGACCCAGGAUUCCCAUCAGCUAUAUGAUUCUGGGUACCGAGAGGCUCAUCCUGGGCUCUUUCCGUCACCUGCAUCUACAUUCUUUUCUAUUUUUAUGGAGAGCCACUAAGAAAUACAACAGAUAAGCUAACAUCAAAGAUUUCAUCCAAAUUAUCUAAAAUAAGUAUGGCAACAUUCACAUUAAAGAAAUGUCAUAUUCUGUGUUGGUUUUGAGUGCUCUGAUAUUCACAGUGAGAUAAAAAAUUAAUAAAUGUCACUUGGCUUCUUUGGUAUUAUGGUCUCUUGGGCAUAUAAGUAGAAGCAACAUUUAUUAUCUAAUACUGUCGCCCAGGAUGGGCAAACCACAGCCCUCUCCCCUGGCUCCCCAUUUUGUAAAUAAAGUUUUAUUGACACACAGCCACAUUCGUUCUUUUACCUAUUGUCUAAGGCUGCUUUCACACUACAGUGGCAGUGUUGAAUAGCUGCAACAGAGACCCUGUGACCUGCAAAGUUUGACAUAUUUACCCUUUGGUCCUUUACAGAAAGGCAGUUGACCUCUGCUGCAGACGGUUAGUUGGGAUGCUUCCGAAAGAAAUGUACCAAGAAGAAAAUGUAAUCUCCUUCCUUAAAAUACCUACCCAAAGAGAUCAUUUGUCUUCAAUAAAAUAGUUUCCUAGUAGAGUAAUAAUAAGUUAGGCUUAUGAUUGGUUUCCCAUUAACCUCAGAUUGCAAAUGUUCACUAGCCCUUUCAAAUGCUUAGUAUCCUUACAGUGACGUAUCUGCCAGCCGUGGACGACAUUCUACUCUGGGUCGGAAACUGUCCUCAGAUUUGAAUUAUUCUUGCUUAAUUUAAAGAGCCAGAUCUAGUUUUAUUAAAGUUAAUGAAGGCCCAGAACCUCAUUAAUGGCUAAAUGACUUCUCUCUCUGAGCCAUGUGAUUAUUUCAGAAUUAGUAGUUCACUUAAAAACAAAUAUCCCUAUUUUAUUUUAUUAGAACAGAGCAUUGGUCUGUGUUUAAAAGUAGAUUUCUAUUUUUCUGACAAAUGUCUUUCCAAGUAUGUGAGGUACAAUUUCUAUGACUUUUCCUGAAAAAAAUUGACGUAUUUGUUGAGUGAAUGUUGAAUAAACAAAGAGUAUAUAUCAGAGUGGGAAGAACAUGCCCUUUGGGGUCAGAGAAACUGGGUUCAUCUCUUAGAGUUUCCUCCUCCUGCUAGUGUGUGACAACCCUCUGACCCUCAGUUUCCUAUCCUUAAAAUAGAGGCAACCCCUAUAUGAUACAUAUAUAGGAUUGUGGGAAGGAUUUUAAAUAAUGCAUGUGAAAUGACUAGUUAGAGCCAGGCACAUAGCAGGUUUACAGGUGGUAACUUAUUGAGUGGUAGUUAAGUGAGUGCUAUGGUCUGAAUGUUUGUGCCUCCCAUCCCCCAAAUUCAGGUUGAAAUCCUAAUGUCCUAUGUGAUAGUAUUGGAAGGUGGGGCCCUUGGGAGGUGCUUAGGUCAUGAGAGUGGAACCCUCAUCAAUGGGAUUAAUGCUCUUAUAAAAGAGACCCCACAGAGCCCUGUAGCCCCUUAUCCUAUGUGAGGACAUAGGGGGAAGUCAAUAACCCAAAAAAGUGCCCUCACUUGACCGUGCUGGCACCCGACAUCAGACUUCCGUCCUCCAGGACUGUGAGAAAUAAAUUUCUGUUGUGUAUAAGACACCAGUCUGUGGUGUUUUGUUCCAACAGCUCAAAUGAACUAAGACAAGGGGCAUAGUUGUUUUUGUUUUCUGAUUUCUUCUUCACUUAAUUAGGUUUUCCUAGAGGUGAACUAGAUGCCUAAAAGUAGUGAUGCUUAAAUUUAUUUUAAUAAAUUUAGGAAGCUAGCUCAAAUGAGAAAGCUGCUGUGGAGACAAGGGAACCAGGCAGGCUCCAGCACGCCCAGGGCCACCCCUGGUGUCCAGGGCGCCCCUUAACCCCUCCCCCACCCCCGCAGUGCUUCACUCGUGCUUGCUCUGGGCGCGCAACAGCGGGGAAUCAGCAUUUAGAUGAUUCUCUGGAAGUCUUCCAUCCCAACAGGAAAGACGAUAAUCAUCCUUGCAAAGAGGAUGCACGGCUGGUGAUGCCUUCGCUCCUUUGUGGGGAGCGAUGCCCAGGAAAGCUCUGACCGCGGCUGAGAGAUCUGAACUGCAGUUCCAGCUCUGCACACCAGCCGUGGGACCUCGGACGAGGCCUGCAGCGGCUCAGAGCCCCAGCGCCCCUUUCCAUGCGAAAGCAGGUCUCCGUGCUCCUUCCAGAUCUCUACAGACUUCUUCACCUGAGAGACGUCGCACAUGCAUGGACUUUAAUGGAACAG
rnacentral:lncRNA from 1 species